AACAGUGGAUGGUGAACUUGGUGUGCAGGUAUAAUUUCUUUGAUGGCAGAAGACAAGAAAAAGUCAAAAGGUCCUGCUCCGUCGCCCCAGUGUUCAGACUACCUGUUCAGGACAAUAUUGUUGUACAGUAGUCUGCACAUUGGUUAGACUGGGCAUGGGAAAGCAGCAGCAGUUAAGUUUCCACACUUUUCAAGGAAGACAGAUGAACAGUGCUACAAGAUAAAACUUCUACAGCUGCUUGGCACAUGUUUCGGAAAAAGGAGUGCUUAAGGAAUUCAAAAUACAAAUCUACUGCAUCAUUCCACUGACCAACUUGAUUUCUUAUUUGAUGGGAAGAAUCAAUUUCCACAUCUUUAGUGUGAAAGUUGUUCAAUAUUCUCAUUGGAAAAGUUUUAAAAGCUGUACUUUAUAGGCUUAUGUAGUAAUUUAUGAACAGUGGAUUAACUUCUUAAACACAAAUCAAAUUUAUUCUGAAAUUACCCUCUCCUGUUCAUUCUAGUCACUGAACACUGUUUUUAGGAGGCACCCUGUGAAGAGGUAAUCAAUAUGCUAAGCGAUGGGAAAUACACUGCGUCUGACUUUACAUCAGGUCUUAGAAUUGAUAAUGGCCAUUAUGAUUCUUAACUAAGGACAAACACUUUGCUGAAAGCAGUAGCUACAUACACAUAAUAGUAUUCAGGCAUUAUAAAAGAUUAUUUCAUUCAAGUAAUUUUUUUGAUAGGUAAUUUUUUUUCUGAUUUGAAACACAUUUUUGCUGAUUAAAAACAGAUAGAUUAAUAAAGAGAAGUAUGCUGGAUUACUGCAUUCAGAGAGGUACAAUUUCCCAUUCAGAUCUUUAUCAAAGUUGCACCAAAUUACUGAAACAGUGAAAAUUUCCCGUCAGUUGGCCACAGAAUGAAAAUGGCAAUCACCAUAGGUAAAUUUGCAGCCUUAAUGCCACUGCCUUCGUCGGUAGGGGGUGGUUGAAUUUGCCGUGUAGGAGCAGAAAAAAAUUGGGAAAAUAAGGCUUUUUAUUUAGUUAAAUAGCUGCAACUUUAACACAAUUCACAAGUCUUAGCUUCUUAGUACUUAUUCUUAAUCUUGUCGUUCUUGCUGGUCUACUAAAUUGUUUAUAUUAGCUAGGCACCAGCAAUGGACCACCCAAGUCUCAAAUCUCCAUGGAAAGUGACAAGAGGCAGAAAAUUGUGCAUUGAUAAUUUUUUCAACUCCUUCAGAUCAAAGAAAAAUGUUAGUAGGAGAAACUUCUGAAACAGGGCCAAACUCUUAAUAAUGGUCUUAUUCAAUUUUCAUUUUUUUUUUACAAGUGCUGCAUUAUAUUUUUUAAAAACCUCUUAUAAACUUCAAAGCGCUAACAUCUGAUAGGGCUUGAAUUACCUGGCAGUAACAAUUAGUUCCACUUUUGCAAUAAGAAUUCAUUUGCAUUUUCAGUUGUUAUACACUUGAGAAAGAUGUGCACCCUCAGGGAAACUGCAUACCCCUCUAUUUAUUUUUUUAAAUUAAUUAGCAUACAAAGGUACACGUUUAAAAUUACAUUUGCUAAUUGCUUUCAAUAAUGCAAAAGGAAGAGAAAUGUGUUCAAAACAUAAAGCGGCUGUUUUUUUAAAUGAAGAUUAAGCGGAAAUGUAACUGUUUGAAAAUAAACAUGCAAUUUCCACGAAUAAACAACUGCACUGUAUGUCAAAACUUUGUAUAAAAACCAGGAUAUUGGCCAGUAGGCAAAGGUUUCAUUACUAGAUGGUAU